ACUCAAAUGAAUUGACGGGGGCCCGCACAAGCGGUGGAUCAUGUGGUUUAAUUCGAAGCAACGCGAAGAACCUUACCUGGGUUUGACAUCCUCGGACCGAUGCAGAAACGCAUCUUUCGUAGCAAUACGACCGGGAGACAGGUGCUGCAUGGCUGUCGUCAGCUCGUGUGGUGACAUGUUGGGUUAAGUCCCGCAACGAGCGCAACCCUUGUCUUUAGUUGCCAGCAUUCAGUUGGGCACUCUAAAGAGACUGCCGUGGUGAACACGGAGGAAGGUGGGGAUGACGUCAAGUCCUCAUGGCCUUUAUAUCCAGGGCGACACACGUGAUACAAUGGAUGGUACAGAGGGAAGCGAAGAAGCGAUUCGGAGCCAAUCUCAAAAAGCCAUUCUCAGUUCGGAUUGGAGUCUGCAACUCGACUCCAUGAAGUUGGAAUCGCUAGUAAUCGCGGAUCAGCACGCCGCGGUGAAUACGUUCCCGGGCCUUGUACACACCGCCCGU
rnacentral:rRNA from 1 species